UCAAACAUGGCCCGAAUGGCUGAUAUUGACUGGUGUCAACUAGUUUACACGGAUUUGUGCGAUGCUGCCGCACGUUGGCAUAAAAGGAACAAAACUAACAUCACAGCAACAAUAUAUGGAUGCUCACUCAUUGUUUUAAUUUACUAUCUUGAUCACCUACAUCACCCUGCUGCUCCGGAUAACAAAUAUGGUACUCCACGCAUUAAGUUUUUUGACAAUGAGACCAUAAGACAGUUGGCUCGGGGUGACAGACGCCCCCCCCGUAAAACUGGUGAACCAUUCGGAUAUGCAGAGUUUCGUAGCCGUUCAGAAACGUGUUACGUCAUUGCUCCAGAACGGCCUGCUUCUGCCGUUUUCAACAUCU